UACGUAGGGGGCAAGCGUUGUCCGGAAUGAUUGGGCGUAAAGGGCGCGUAGGCGGCCUGUUAAGUCUGGAGUGAAAGUCCUGCUUUCAAGGUGGGAAUUGCUUUGGAUACUGGCGGGCUGGAGUGCAGGAGAGGUUAGUGGAAUUCCCGGUGUAGCGGUGAAAUGCGUAGAGAUCGGGAGGAACACCAGUGGCGAAGGCGACUAACUGGACUGUAACUGACGCUGAGGCGCGAAAGUGUGGGGAGCAAACAGGAUUAGAUACCCUGGUAGUCCACACGGUAAACGAUGAAUGCUAGGUGUAGGGGGUAUCGACCCCUUCUGUGCCGGAGUAAACACAAUAAGCAUUCCGCCUGGGGAGUACGGCCGCAAGGUUGAA
rnacentral:rRNA from 1 species